rnacentral:rRNA from 1 species
AUGCACGCUGGCGGCGUGCUUCACACAUGCCAGUCGAACGGUGAAGGCGGAGCUUGCUCUGCUGGAUCAGUGGCGAACGGGUGAGUAACACGUGAGCAAUCUGCCCCUGACUCUGGGAUAAGCGCUGGAAACGGCGUCUAAUACUGGAUACGAGCUGCGAAGGCAUCUUCAGCAGCUGGAAAGAAUUUCGGUCAAGGAUGAGCUCGCGGCCUAUCAGCUUGUUGGUGAGGUAAUGGCUCACCAAGGCGUCGACGGGUAGCCGGCCUGAGAGGGUGACCGGCCACACUGGGACUGAGACACGGCCCAGACUCCUACGGGAGGCAGCAGUGGGGAAUAUUGCACAAUGGGCGAAAGCCUGAUGCAGCAACGCCGCGUGAGGGACGACGGCCUUCGGGUUGUAAACCUCUUUUAGCAGGGAAGAAGCGAAAGUGACGGUACCUGCAGAAAAAGCGCCGGCUAACUACGUG